CUGUUAAAAAGCUCGUAGUUGGAUCAAGAGUCGGACAGUGCACGGUGACCCUGUUUGGCACGGUGGCUCCGGUCACUGUGUCGGCAGCGGAUCAACCCCGUGCGCCAAACUGUCCGCUCUAACAGACCGAAACGGUUCCCUGUGAGUAGGCUCCUUAAUUGGCGCUGAAAGCGAUUACGCAUCAACCAUAUGCAUACGGGAUGUCGGUCAAUGUUACUGUGAACAAACCAGCGUGUCCACAACAGGCCUCCGGCCUGAAUGUUCGAGCAUGGAAUAACAAGGGAUCGAUUCUCUCGGUUCUUUUUGUUUGUUUUUAACCCGAGAAGGAGUAAUUCAGGCCACGGUGUCUGAGUUGGGUUUCCCUUGACUUCGGUGAAGGCCCCAAUUAGGCCGUGUCCUUACGGGAUAAAUAGGGACUGACGGGGUCGUACGUACUUCCACGUCAGAGGUGAAAUUCUUAGAUCGUGGGAAGACGAUCUUCUGCGAAAGCAUUCGACAAGAAUGUCUUCAUUAAUCAAGAACGAGAGUGUGGGGAUCGAAGAUGAUCAGUUACCGUCGUAGUCCACUACUGUAAACAAUGCCGUCUCAGGAUUGAGAGGUGAACAGAAUGACUUUCACAGCACUAACCCCUGAACCGAGAAAUCAAAGACUAUG
rnacentral:rRNA from 1 species